UAGGGAAUCUUCCACAAUGGGCGCAAGCCUGAUGGAGCAACACCGCGUGAGUGAAGAAGGGUUUCGGCUCGUAAAGCUCUGUUGUUAAAGAAGAACGUGGGUAAGAGUAACUGUUUACCCAGUGACGGUAUUUAACCAGAAAGCCACGGCUAACUACGUGUCAG
rnacentral:rRNA from 1 species